rnacentral:rRNA from 1 species
UAGUGCCUUCGGGAACCGUGAGACAGGUGCUGCAUGGCUGUCGUCAGCUCGUGUUGUGAAAUGUUGGGUUAAGUCCCGCAACGAGCGCAACCCUUAUCCUUUGUUGCCAGCGCGUGAUGGCGGGAACUCAAAGGAGACUGCCGGUGAUAAACCGGAGGAAGGUGGGGAUGACGUCAAGUCAUCAUGGCCCUUACGACCAGGGCUACACACGUGCUACAAUGGCGCAUACAAAGAGAAGCGACCUCGCGAGAGCAAGCGGACCUCAUAAAGUGCGUCGUAGUCCGGAUUGGAGUCUGCAACUCGACUCCAUGAAGUCGGAAUCGCUAGUAAUCGUGGAUCAGAAUGCCACGGUGAAUACGUUCCCGGGCCUUGUACACACCGCCCGUCACACCAUGGGAGUGGGUUGCAAAAGAAGUAGGUAGCUUAACCUUCGGGAGGGCGCUUACCACUUUGUGAUUCAUGACUGGGGUGAAGUCGUAACAAGGUAACCGUAGGGGAACCUGCGGUUGGAUCACCUCCUUA